CAAAAACAUUGCUUCUUGUCAUAAUUUUAAGAAGUAAUUCCUGCCCAGUGAUUCAACGGCCGCGGUAUCCUAACCGUGCAAAGGUAGCAUAAUCACUUGCCCAUUAAUUGUGGGCUAGAAUGAAAGGACCAACGAAAUAAAAACUGUCUCUAUAAGUUACAUAAAAAUUAAUCUCUAACUGAAGAGUGUUAGAUUCUGUCGAAGGACAAGAAGACCCUAUAGAGCUUCAUUUUAAUAAAAAAUAAAUCUUUAUUGAAAUUCGGUUGGGGCGACCAGGGAAAUAAGUAUCCUCCCUUAUUAAAAGAUUAUUAAAUCACACUUUUGACCCUUAAUAAAGAUCAUUAGAAAAAGCUACCUUAGGGAUAACAGGCUAAUCUCACUAAAGAGUCCUUAUCAAUAGUGGGGGUUGGCACCUCGAUGUUGGCUUAGGGAAUCCAUACGGCGCAAAAGUCGUAUAAAGAUGGUUUGUUCAACCAAUAAUACCCUACAUGAUCU
rnacentral:rRNA from 1 species